GAAUAAAACAGUGAUGUGGUCUGUGGGUGACACUCACACUGAGGCAGGGCUGGUGCUAGACUAUUUUGCACCCUAGACAAGAACAUCACCCCCAAAAACCUAAAAUCGCCAGCUUUGUGUGUCUCUCUGUCCCUCUCUGUGUGUCUUUUUAUCCCCUAAGCUCCUUUAUGUGUGUCUUUUUCUCUCUAAGCCCUUCUGUGUCUGACAUCGCAGCCCUUCU